rnacentral:rRNA from 1 species
GGUCGAGCAAGGAUGAAAAUCGGACUUAGUGAUCCGGUGGUUCUGCGUGGAAGGGCCAUCGCUCAACGGAUAAAAGCUACCCUGGGGAUAACAGGCUUAUCUCCCCCAAGAGUCCACAUCGACGGGGAGGUUUGGCACCUCGAUGUCGGCUCAUCACAUCCUGGGGCUGUAGUAGGUCCCAAGGGUUGGGCUGUUCGCCCAUUAAAGUGGUACGCGAGCUGGGUUCAGAACGUCGUGAGACAGUUCGGUCCCUAUCCGUCGCAGGCGUAGGAAAUUUGAGAAGACCUGUCCUUAGUACGAGAGGACCGGGAUGGACGUACCUCUGGUGUACCAGUUGUCCUGCCAAGGGCAUGGCUGGGUAGCUAUGUACGGAAUGGAUAAGCGCUGAAAGCAUCUAAGCGCGAAGCCAACUUCAAGAUAAGAUUUCCCACCGCAAGGGUAAGACCCCAGAAAGACUAUCUGGUUGAUAGGUCGAAGGUGUAAGUUCAGCAAUGUAUUUAGCUUAUCGAUACUAAUAGGUCGAGGACUUGACCAAU